rnacentral:rRNA from 1 species
UACAGAGGGUGGCAAGCGUUAAUCGGAAUUACUGGGCGUAAAGCGUGCGUAGACGGUUGCGUAAGUCAGAUGUGAAAGCCCCGGGCUCAACCUGGGAAUUGCAUUUGAGACUGCGUAGCUAGGGUGCGGAAGAGGGAAGCGGAAUUUCCGGGUGUAGCGGUGAAAAUGCGUAGAUAUCGGAAGGAACACCAGUGGCGAAAAGCGGCUUCCUGGUCCAGCACCGACGUCAGGCACGAAAGCGUGGGGAGCAAACAGG